rnacentral:lncRNA from 1 species
UAGACCCUAAACCUUCAACUCUAAACCAAACCCAAAAUAAAAAACCCAAAACCUAAACUCAAAACUCAACCUAAAACAAACUCGAAUCGAAAAGAUAUGAUGUAAGCAAACAAAUAGAAAAAAACAAGUUGAAAACAUCUGCCGUUGAAUUUGGCCGGAUUCCUCACCAACAGUUGGAUCAAGUAUCCGCCGGGGCGGACGAUUCUCAUCUAUCUUUAUGAAGGUCUUUUCAGAGAUGAGUCGUCGUCUCUGUUCGUGGUUGUUAUGAUUCCAUCCAUACCAGGUGGUUACUAUCUCUAAGAAUUUGGAUUCAGAUUCGGAUUUCUUUCUCGAGGACCGGAAGUCUUCUUGUGGUGUACUAUCUGCAAGUAUUCAAAAUUCAGAGUUAAAUUUUGAAUUCUUAUUCUAUAAUGUUAAAUUUUCGAAAUUCAGAAUUUUACAGUUAUAGUCAACCUCGGGUCCACUCUCGUAAAUGCAUGUGCUAGUGUCUCAGUUCCUAGCCAAGUAUCACUGUACUCUUUACGGUAGUAUGAAACACCCUGAUUUCUUACGAUUUAUUAAAUGACUAAUAUGUCCCGGCCGGGGAACUUUAAAACAAAAAUAGAAAAGAAUAAGAUAUAUGAACAUUUUUUGGAUGAUUAAAACGUAUAAGAACAUUACUAUGAGGGGCAAGUAGAAAUUAAUUAUCUAAAUUCUAUGUAGGAUGGUUAGUAUAUAUCAUAUAAAGAAUGUACGGGUAAGCAAGAGCACAAGAAAAUUCACCUUAAAUUAAAUUAAUGAUGAGAAGAAUACAAAUCAUGAAAAGAAAAUAAAUGGUUGCUAUUUGCUAACGCUGAACGAGUGGACCCAAAGAAGAGUUUGUGUAGUGUGGCAGGUGAAGUCUUCUCUCUUUUUCUUUUCUUGUCUUUUACAUAUACAGAGAACCAGAUUCAAUCUUAUCAUUAUAUAUCAGAAACCAAAAUCGUAGCCCAUCAAAAUCCGACGACAGGAUUUAAGGACUUGAGGAAUUGGAAGCAAAGAUUCAGUGAGAGGUAUGUGUUUAGUUUUACUCUCAGACGUCUGUAUUGAUUUUUUCAUUGAUUUUGUGUCUUCCAUAUAUAUUAUAUAGGGUGUAGUAGAAAUGUAUUGCUCUCCGUUUAUUGCUCUCUAUGAGCUGUUUAUCGGAAGGAGGAGGACGAGAGAUUAUUCCGAUGAGUACUCAAACACCGAUACUUCUCCACAAUCAGAUUCUGCUUCUAGUACUUCUGCACUUUCUAAUUUGGUGCCCCUACUUCAACAAUCAGAUUCUGCUUCUACUUCUGGAAAUUCUUAUUCGGUGCCCCUUCCCAUCGGCGAGUAUGAAGUGUUUCUAAAUUUUAGAGGUCCGGAUACCAAUGAUAAUGUUACGGAUAUUCUUUACCGUUUCCUUACUCGUUCGAAAAUUCGCACGUUCAGAGACGAUGAUGAACUCCGUAAGGGAGAAGGAAUAUGGCCUAACCUUGUCAAAGCCAUCAACCAGUCGAAGAUUUCUGUUCUUAUUUUCUCGCCUCGUUAUGCUGAGAGCAAAUGGUGCUUGAGAGAACUUGUUGAGAUUAUCGAACAUCAAAAACGAGAAAAAGGACAUGUUAUACUUCCCAUUUUCUACAAGGUGGAUCCUAAAGUCGUACGCCAUCAAACUGGGCCUUAUCAAAAUGCUUUUCAACAAUAUAAGAGGAAUAAUUUUGAUGAAAAGACUAUACAAAAUUGGAAAAAUGCGCUGAAUGAGAUUGGAUCUUUAAAAGGGUGGCACAUCAAAGCAAACAAAGAGUAUGUAAUUCUGUCACUUAUCUUAUCUAUACAAAUCUUUUGGUGUUUUAUAUAUAGUUGUAGCAAAUACUCAUUAAUGUGUGUUAAAUAUUAAGUUACAAUCUUAUUUUCUACAGGGUUAUAAAUGUUGCGGAUGUUGUUUCUGGAGUUGUAUGGUCACAUAUAAUCAAGAAUAACAAUACAUUAGAGACUGAUGAAUUAGUUGGAAUUGAUCACCAUGUAAAACAAGUAGUAGAUAUGUUAGAUCUAGGUUCUGAAGGUGUGAAUCUAGUUGGCAUUUAUGGUAUGGGGGGUAUUGGGAAGACCACUCUUGCAACAUCGGUCUAUAACAAAGUUCCUGCCUGCUUUGAUCGGUAUAGCUUUGUGGAAGAUAUAAGAGAAACACAAGAACAAACUAACGGUGUUCUCGUGUUACAAAAGAAGUUGCUUUCUAACAUCUUAAGGAUGGACUCGGUUGGGUCAGAAGCAAAGAAAAUCAUACGGGAGAGGGUUACUCAGUUCAAGAUCUUUGUGGUCCUUGAUGAUGUUGACGAAAAGUUCAACUUUGAGGAUGUCCUAGGAAAUUUGAAAAGUUUCGCUCCAGGAAGUUGUUUUAUCAUCACUUCAAGAGAUAUGAAGGUCUUGGAAAAGUUAAGCGGAGAUCAAACAAAGUUGUACGAAGUUCAAGAAAUGGAUGAUAGUCGCUCCCUUCAAUUAUUUUACAAGCAUGCAUUCAGAGAAGAUCGUAUUUUGCCAGGUUUUGAUGACUUAUCAAAAAAAAUUGUAUCUACUACAGGAGGACUUCCAUUGGCACUUAAGGUUAUAGGGUCACUUCUUUUCCGACAAAAAAAGGAUUUUUGGGAAGACAAAUUCGAACUAUUACGAGAAAUGCCAGAUGAAGAUGUAAUGAACAGGUUAAUGAUUAGCUACACAACUUUAAACCAGAACGAACAACAAAUAUUUUUAGAUAUUGCUUGCUUUCAUAUCGGAGAGGAUAAAGAAAAGGCUUCUUACAUGUGGAGCGAUUGCAAAUAUCAUCCUGUCCUUCACAUAAGUAUCCUUGUUCAAAGAUCUAUGCUCAAAAUUGGAGAUGAAAAUGAGUUCCAAAUACAUGAUCAACUUAGAGAUAUGGGUAGAGCGAUUGUUCGUAAAAAAGAUAUGGAACAUCCAGAAAGGAGAAGCAGAAUAUGGCUAGAAGAGGAAGCCAACGAGGUUUUAGCUGACAACAAGGUAUAACUUGUUAUAUUGCCUUAGCUUGUUGAGAAGAAUUGAAUAAGGUUUGUUAAAGUAGUUAUUAUAUUGUCUGUGUUGUUGGAAAUUGAUGUGUACAGGGAACAGAUCAAGUAAGAGCCAUUAGAGCAUCAUACGGGGAAUAUACUAGUGGAAGUGGAUGUUUUAGGAAUAUGAAAGAAUUGAGAUAUCUCCACGGAAUAAACAUGGAGCUAAAAGGAGAUUUCAGUCGUCUUCUUCCUAAUUUGAAAUGGAUGCAUUUAGAAUAUGGAUGGUAUUAUCUUGGACAAAGGGUGUCUGGGGCCAGCAACUUCAAUAUGAAAAACAUGGUCAUAUUUGACGUCACCAAUUGUCCAAUUGGCGACAUCCCAACAAAGGUUUGUUUUAUGAUUACAUUUCUUUGCAACGAGAUGACUAAAUUUUUCCAGAAUCUAGUUUCCUAGAUAUACCAUCGUGGUUCAAGAAUAGAAUGGAAGAUCUCAAAACUGGAGAAUAGCAUGUGUUUUUUUAUUUGUGUUUUUUUAUUGAUUGAUGAACCAAUGGCUGUUUUCUGUUUUACAUUUCUUCUUGGAUUUUUACUAACUUUUAGUGCAUAAUUAUAAAAUGCAGGAGGCAAAAAAACUCAAAUUUCUAAAGGUUAGCAAUUGUAGUAAGAUGAGUAAGCUUCCAGAAUUUCCAAAGACUCUUGAGAUGCUACAUUUUAGUAAUUUCUCCAACAAAGAGGAAGAUAUGGAGGUCGGGAAUCUGCAAAACUUAAAAGUACUAAAAUUACAAGAAUGCACAUUGGGGAGGAUCAACGGUGGUACGGUUGGGAUGAUGAAUGGGCUUCGAGAGCUCUAUCUGACUGCUAUUAAAUGUGAUUUUGAUAGUUUCAGAAGAGUGAUUGCCGAUAUCGGAGCAUUGUCAUCUCUCGAAAAAAUGGAGUUCAAAAAUCCUUACCUGGAGAAUGUUUUGGAAGGGAUUAUGCUACCAAAAAGCUUAAAGGUCCUAUCCACUUCAUCUUGUUUUGGUAAUCUUUCGGAGCUG